rnacentral:piRNA from 1 species
AACCUCCCGUAGUUUCUUCGCCAGCAAA